CGGUAAACGGCGGCCGUAACUAUAACGGUCCUAAGGUAGCGAAAUUCCUUGUCGGGUAAGUUCCGACCUGCACGAAUGGCGUAACGAUUUGGGCGCUGUCUCGACGAGAGUCUCGGUGAAAUUGCAAUACCCGUGAAGAUGCGGGUUAACCAUGGCAAGACGGAAAGACCCCGUGGACCUUUACUGCAGUUUGGCAUUGAAUUUCGGUAUAAUAUGUAGAGGAUAGGUGGGAGGCUGUGAAGUUCCGACGCUAGUCGGGAUGGAGCCAACCUUGGAAUACCACCCUUAUUAUGUUGAAGUUCUAAUCCUGUAAGUUAUCCUUGCAGGAGACAUUGUCUGGCAGGCAGUUUGACUGGGGUGGUCGCCUCCCAAAAAGUAACGGAGGCACCCAAAGGUUCCCUCAGCGCGGUCGGUAAUCGCGCGUAGAGUGUAAAGGCAUAAGGGAGCUUAACUGUGAGACGGACGCGUCGAACAGGGACGAAAGUCGGGCUUAGUGAUCCUGCGGUUCCUAGUGGAAGGGCCGCCGCUCAUUGGAUAAAAGGUACCCCGGGGAUAACAGGCUUAUCUCCCCCAAGAGCUCAUAUCGACGGGGAGGGUUGGCACCUCGAUGUCGGCUCAUCGCAUCCUGGGGCUGUAGGAGGUCCCAAGGGUUGGGCUGUUCGCCCAUUAAAGCUGGUACGCGAGCUGGGUUUAGAACGUCGUGAGACAGUUCGGUCCCUAUCUGCCAUGGUCGUUGGAUAUUUGAGGAGAGCUGCCUAUCGUACGAGAGGAUAUAGGUGGACGAACCUCUGGUGUACCAGUUGUCGCGCCAGCGGCAUUGCUGGGUAGCUACGUUCGGAAGGGAUAAGCACUGAAAGCAUCUAAGUGCCAAGCCCACUCCAAGAUUAGAUAUCCCAAUCCCGGUAGCAAUAUCGGGAUAAUAAGACCCCCUGGAGACUACAGGGUUGAUAGGCCGAGGGUGUAAGUGCAGUAAUGUAUUUAGCCCAUCGGUACUAAUCGGUCGUUCGGCUUGACCAUAUUAC
rnacentral:rRNA from 1 species